rnacentral:rRNA from 1 species
AGAACGAACGCUGGCGGCAGGCUUAACACAUGCAAGUCGAGCGCCUCGCAAGAGGAGCGGCAGACGGGUGAGUAACGCGUGGGAAUCUACCCAUCCUUACGGAACAACUCCGGGAAACUGGAGCUAAUACCGUAUACGCCCUUCGGGGGAAAGAUUUAUCGAGGAUGGAUGAGCCCGCGUUGGAUUAGCUAGUUGGUGGGGUAAAGGCCUACCAAGGCGACGAUCCAUAGCUGGUCUGAGAGGAUGAUCAGCCACAUUGGGACUGAGACACGGCCCAAACUCCUACGGGAGGCAGCAGUUGGGAAUCUGGACAAUGGGGGAAACCCUGAUCCAGCCAUGCCGCGUGAGUGAUGAAGGCCUUCGGGUUGUAAAACUCUUUCGACGGGGACAUGAUGACGGUACCGUAGAAGAAGCUCCGGCUAACUUCGUGCCAGCAGCCGC